rnacentral:misc_RNA from 1 species
GAUGAAGAACGCAGCGAAAUGCGAUACGUAAUGUGAAUUGCAGAAUUCAGUGAAUCAUCGAAUCUUUGAACGCAUAUUGCGCUCUCUGGUAUUCCGGAGAGCAUGCUUGUUUGAGUAUCAGUAAACACCUCAACUUCCAUAUCUUUUUUGAAAUGGGAGUUGGACUUGAGUGAUCCCAACGCUUUUCCUCACCGAAAAGUGGCGGGUUACUUGAAAUGCAGGUGCAGCUGGACUUUUCUCUGAGCUAUAAGCAUAUCUAUUUAGUCUGGCUAAAAACAGAUUAUUACCUUUGCUGCAGCUAACAUAAAGGAGAUUAGUUCUUGUGCUGACUGAUGCAGGAUUCACAAAGACAGGCUUCGGCCGACUUUGUAAACUCGAUCUCAAAUCAAGUAAGACUACCCGCUGAACUUAAGCAUAUCAAUAAGCGGAGGA